rnacentral:rRNA from 1 species
UACAGAGGGUGCGAGCGUUGUUCGGAAUUACUGGGCGUAAAGGGCGCGUAGGCGGUUUGAUAAGUCUGUUGUGAAAGCCCGGGGCUUAACUCCGGAAGAGCAGUGGAAACUAUCAGACUAGAGUACAGUAGAGGUUGGUGGAAUACCCAGUGUAGAGGUGAAAUUCGUAGAUAUUGGGUGGAACACCGGUGGCGAAGGCGGCCAACUGGGCUGUAACUGACGCUGAGGCGCGAAAGCGUGGGGAUCAAACAGG